UACGUAGGGGGCUAGCGUUGUCCGGAAUCAUUGGGCGUAAAGCGCGUGUAGGCGGUCCGGUAAGUCCGCUGUGAAAGUCGGGGGCUCAACCCUCGAAUGCCGGUGGAUACUGUCGGGCUAGAGUGCGGAAGAGGCGAGUGGAAUUCCUGGUGUAGCGGUGAAAUGCGCAGAUAUCAGGAGGAACACCGGUGGCGAAGGCGGAUCUCUGGGCCUUACCUGACGCUCAGGUGCGAAAGCUAGGGGAGCAAACAGG
rnacentral:rRNA from 1 species